UAGCGCUAAUUUGAAAAUCAUUUGAGCAGAGCAGAGUAGAUGUCAAUGUCAAUGUCGUCUCCGGAGGUGUUACUGAAGAAUCGUUUCAUGAGCUUCUUGAUCUGGCAAUCCAUAACCUCAACCCUCAUCUUCCUCCUCUUCAAACCCUUCCUCUCUUCUUCUUCCCCGUCUCCUCCGCUUCCUCUGCAUCCCCUCCGACUCCGCCACACCCGACUCCGCGCACUUUCGCGCCCGCGCCAAGGUUUCCUUAUCAUUCGUGCUCUUCGCGGCCGCCUCCGCAGCUUCUGGUCUGGCGGCGGCGGUGUCCCUAUGCGGGCUUGGAGCCAUUGGUGAGGGCUUUUGGGUGAUUGGAAGGGUAGCGUUGAGGGGUUUCUUCGUUGGUUUACUUUUUGGUUUGCAUUACGUUUUGAAGCGUCGAUGGGUUUUGGAGUUUCCCAUCAUUCAGCGGCCACCUUACUUCAGCUUCAAAAUGGGAGUUCCUUCGGCUGGUAGGCGCGCUCUCAAGCUUUCCAUUGUGGCUUCCCUCUUCUCAGCUAUUUUAUUAGAGCUUCUCCCACAUCCAUUUAAGUACAGCAUUUCACUGCAGAGAUACGUCACCAACCAGAUCGUCUUUUCUAUUGCCACUUUUGCUAUCUUCUUCUGUUGGGAAUUGACUCAUCACUUGCACCGGGUUUUACAUACAAAGAGAUCCCUCCUUUUAGCUUUGGAGGAGAGUGAUCCAACAUCUCUUCUACGCUAUCUUGCGUAUCUUGAUCUCUGUAUGGUUUGCGAGAAAAAUGUUGACACUUGGAGGCGUGCAGCAUUUUUUGAAGAAACUGGUGAGACUUACAAAAGAGUAAUCGCUGUGUGCUUGAAGCCACUGGAGCAACUUGCCACAAUAUUAAGUGAAGGCAUGGGAAAUUCUGUUGACAAACCUGCACAGCUAUCGAAUCAGCUAUCAUCUCCAACUGAUUCACUACUUGAUUCAAAGUGCUUAGAACAAUUGCAGCUUCUCCAGCUUUACACGUGGUGUUCAAGAUCUGUUGCCUCACUGACUGCCUGUUCACGCAAAGAAGAUAAGUUUGGGGUUGCUCAGCUCUCUGGGAGUAAUGCUGCCGUAAUUUCAACGUUGAUAUCAUGUCUUCUAGCUGUUGAAAAUUUCAUGGGAAAGAAAACAAACCUGCAGUCCCCGCACCAGCUAUUGGGACCUGCCGGUAUCAGAUGGGCAACAAUGAACGGUGGAAGGGUGGAUGUUUCAUCUGGUAAAAGAAGAAGUGGCCCAGUAAACUCAAAAGCUUAUGUUAUUGCUGAUGUUCUAAGGACUUCAAUAUACCAAAUAGUAUCAGCAUUCCAUGAUGAGAUGUUAGCUGGUGCUAAAGCAAGCCUUCUUGAGAAGGACUGGAUCACCAAUGGGAAACCAGCUUUUGGUACCCGUGAGAUGCUUAUACAAAAGUUACGUCUUUUCCUUGAUUAUAGAGCAACAUAACUUGAUUGUAGUAUUGGGGUUUGGAUGCCACUUUGUUGGGUUGAUCAAAUAUACUCAUAGGUUGUUGUUAAGUGGAGAUGAAAUAGGAUGAAGAGGAUUCAAUUUUGCUGUAAAAUAUUUCAGAGAGGAUAUUAAUCUGUAACGAUUUUUUUAAAUAUGCUUGAUUUUGCAGGUAAAAGCACAUAAAAGCACGAGUUUAUGCGUUUUUAUUUUUCCAAGUUCUUUUAGGCUUUGCUAACGAGGAGGCCCUUCCUAGUUGCUACUCUGUGGCCC